UCUCUCUCUUCAAAAACAAGAAAAGAAUGCUGCAACGUCUCUCACUCUCUCUUGCUCGAUUUUUCUCCCUCUCUUCCCUUCUCUAUUCGUCGCCUCUCUCUUCCUCCACAUGAAGCACGCCGUCGAAGACGUCUCUGUGCCAGCGGAGAACAUGUCGUAGACAACUGCUCGCGGGUUCCUCAUCAGCUCCGCCAUCGCCCAGUCCAUCGCCGUCGACUGCUGCUGUUCUGGAGUUGGCCGCCGACUGCUGCUGUUCGUCGAGGAGUCCGAUGACUGCUGCUGUUCGUCGAGGAGUCCGCUGACUGCUGCUGUUCGUCGAGGAGUCGCGGCUGUUGCUGCCGACAGAGGCCAUCUCGCCGUUUGGUGCCGCCGCCGUCGGCUGCCGCUGCCUCGCCCAAAACUGACUCCCGGAGUCGCCGUUCGUCGUAGCGAAGGUCUCGGCAGUUCGUCAUCUUCCCCGUUCGAAUUUGCUGAAGGACACGAAGAGGAGCCCAAAUUCUUCUCUCUUGAUUUGGGUCUCGAUCCGCCGCUGCCUCUACUCCGGUGGGUCGCCGUUCGUUCAGUCUGGAGUCCGGCGAGGCAGCAUUCGACCGUCGUCGUUAACUUCGUCAUCUCGGCUCGACCGAACAGAACAGUCGGCCUCAGUUCCUGAGCAGGGCAGUAGCCCCGCUCCCUCUCAAUCAAGCUAAGUUAUAUCCUUGACUCGUCUUCUUCCUACCAUGUCUGAGUAUCGAUAAGCUUAAGCUUCUAUGAGUAAGAAAGAAUCAGGGUUUAACACUCUGUCAGUGAGCAUGCUAUCGCUAUCCUUGUUCGUUCAUUCAUGUGCUAUGUGUGAGGUCCUCAUGGUUUGUGUUCUAGAGUGCAGUGGCAGUAUACACAUAAGUCUUUCUAUUGCUAUACAUAACAUGGACUGUUUGAUGUAGUGGUAAAACAUGAUUAUGCUCGUUGGUAUGAAUGCGAACUCGAUUGGAUAACUGAGGUGGAAUAAGGGAAGAAGGUGGAGCAUUGAAGACAAGCUUACCUUGAGAAUACUUGGUAGGAUGAAUUAAAGGCUCACUUCUCCUUGUGCAGUCCUCAAAUGAAGAAUGAAGAGAAUGCAACAAUGUUGGCUGUUUUGAAUGACGAGGUGGUUUGGCUGGGAGCUUGUAUACAUGGGAGGAGGUACAUUCUAGGGUGGCUGAUUGACAUAUUUAGGUGUACUUGGGCAUGGCAGCCUGCUGCAUAGGCGUGGGAAAAGAAAAGGUGCAGCAAGCUCAAGAGGGGAUAGGGGAGUGUGCAGCACAUGUCUCCAUACCUUAUUGUUAUUCCCAUUUUCUUGAACUUAGGGGGGGGGGUGGCAGGUGGUGGAGUAGUAAAAAUCUAAUUUGUAUUAUUAUCGAGAUUGCUAAAUUAAAUCCAUAGAUUUAAUUCGUUCGUCA